CGCACGGGUGCGUAACACGUAACUAACCUACCCAUCACUGGGGGAUAGCCCGCCGAAAGGCGGAUUAAUACCGCAUACCACUUGGUUCUGGCAUCAGGACUUAGUGAAAGAUUUAUUGGUGAUGGAUGGGGUUGCGGGUCAUUAGCUAGUUGGUUGGGUAAUGGCUGACCAAGGCGACGAUGACUAGGGGAGCUGAGAGGCUGGUCCCCCACACGGGCACUGAGAUACGGGCCCG
rnacentral:rRNA from 1 species